rnacentral:lncRNA from 1 species
UUCACCCGAUCAAACACAUCGGAUUGCAUGAAUUCGAUCGAUUGUACGUAAAUGCGAGUGAUUUUAGAUAAUAGAUGAUUAGAUUCAGCUAUACGAUGCAUGCAAAUGAAGAAUUUGUGAUUGAUUGAUCCCCCCCCUCUCCUCCCUCUCGCCGCUAUGCUCUUCGCGAGCUUUCGAAAUCAAGCACCCAUAGUGCCUGGGGCGCUAUGUUGUCUUUUGCCGUGAUAUGGAGCCCCACUAGGAGUGGCCAUACUGUACCACAAAACAUUUGUACAUCAUCCACUGACAUAAUUACGAGUAGGUGGAAUCAGAUAUGAUCUU